AUACUACUUUGUCAGUACAUAUCCUAAAAUUGGAAUGAUACAGAGAAGAUUAGUAUGGUCCCUGUCCAAGGAUGACACACACAAAUUCGGGAAACAUUCCAUAUUUUC